rnacentral:rRNA from 1 species
UCAAGCUACAAAGGGCGCAAGGAGAAUGCCUUGGCACUGGGAGCCGAUGAAAGACGUGAUAAGCUGCGAUAAGCCUUGGGGAGGAGCAAAUAUCCAUUGAUCCAGGGAUUUCUGAAUGAGGAAACUCACCGAAGCUCAUACUUCGGUACUGCACACUGAAUCCAUAGGUGUGUGGGGGGAACCGCCUGAACUGAAACAUCUAAGUAGGGCGAGGAAGAGACAUCAAACGAGAUUCCGUUAGUAGUGGCGAGCGAACGCGGAAGAGGGCAAACCGGAAGGAGAAAUCCUUCCGGGGUAUGGACCGCUUUAAGGACUUAAGUUGCUAGCUGAAUGGCAUGGGAAGGCCAUCCAAAGAGUGUGAGAGACACGUAAGCGAAAGUAACGAGAGCUGCGCGAGUUCCAGAGUACGGCCAGACACGUGAAACCUGGUCGGAAGAUGGGGGGACCACCCUCCAACCCUAAAUACUACCCAGUGACCGAUAGCGUAUAGUACUGUGAAGGAAAGGUGAAAAGGACCCCGGGAGGGGAGUGAAAGAGAACCUGAAACCUUGUGCCUACAAGCACAUAGAGCACAUCAACGUGUGAUAUGGUACUUUUUGUAGAACGGUCCGGCGAGCGAUUGUAUGUUGCGAGCUUAAGCGCUUAAGGCGUGGAGGCGUAGCGAGAGCGAGUCUGAAUAGGGCGUUCAGUAGCAUGCAAUGGGCCCGAAACCGGGUGACCUACCCAUGAUCAGGCUGAAGUGAAAGUAAAAUUUCAUGGAGGGCCGAACCGACCUCCGUUGAAAAGGCGGCGGAUGAAUUGUGGGUAGCGGAGAAAUUCCAAUCGAACUCGGAGAUAGCUGGUUCUCCCCGAAAUAGCUUUAGGGCUAGCCUCAUAUUAGAUACCCGGAGGUAAAGCACUGAAUGGCCUAGCGCCCGAGAGGGUAGCGAAGCCUAUCAAACUAAGAAUGCCGGAGUAUUGAUGUAUGGGAGUCAGACAGUGUGAGAUAAAUCUCAUUGUCAAAAGGGAAACAGCCCAGAUCUACAGCUAAGGUCCCAAAUUGUAUCUAAGUGGAAAACGAUGUGGAAAUACGCAGACAACCAGGAUGUUGGCUCAGAAGCAGCCACUCAUUUAAAGAGUGCGUAAUAGCUCACUGGUCGAGCGUCUCUGCGCGGAAAAUUUAACGGGGCUAAGAUACAAACCGAAGCUUAGGCUGCACGUAAGUGCGGGGUAGGGGAGCGUUGUGUAAGCGGAGAAACAGUAGCGGAAGCGGCUGUGGAGUUUACAGAAGUGAGAAUGCCGGAAUGAGUAGCGCGAAUGUGGUGAGAAUCCACAUGGCCGGAAACCUCAGGUUUUUGGAGGAAGGUUCGUCCGCUCCAAGUUAGGCGGGAGCUAAGGUGAGGCCGAAAGGCGUAGCCGAUGCACAGACGGUAGAGAUUCCGUCCCCACCGAAAGAUUUAAGCGCAGGGACACUUUUAGAAGGUCGGAGCCAGGUGUUGGUUCUGGUAGAGAUCGAGGGAAAUUUAGUACCGAAGUCCGGCUGGAUAAGAGGCGAGAAAAGCUGCGUGUAUAUCUAAGGUGCCCGUACCGCAAACCGACACAGGUAGGUAGGAAGAAGAUUCUAAGGCCAACGGGAGAAGGGUUGUUAAGGAACUCGGCAAGUUGACCCCGUAACUUCGGAAUAAGGGGUGCUCAUGAAAGUGAGCCGCAGAGAAUAGGCCCAGGCAACUGUUUACCAAAAACACAGGUUUGUGCUAAAUCGAAAGAUGACGUAUACGAGCUGACGCCUGCCCGGUGCUGGAAGGUUAAGAGGAGAUGUGCAAGCAUUGAAUCGAAGCCCCAGUGAACGGCGGCCGUAACUAUAACGGUCCUAAGGUAGCGAAAUUCCUUGUCAGGUAAGUUCUGACCCGCAUGAAAGGCGUAAUGAUUUGGGCACUGUCUCAACAGCCCGCCCGGCGAAAUUGUAGUACCGGUGAAGAU